GACGUAGGGCGCGAGCGUUGUCCGGAUUUAUUGGGCGUAAAGAGCUCGUAGGCGGCUUGUUGCGUCGUCCGUGAAAACCCGCAGCUCAACUGCGGGCUUGCGGACGAUACGGGCAGGCUAGAGUUCGGUAGGGGAGACUGGAAUUCCUGGUGUAGCGGUGAAAUGCGCAGAUAUCAGGAGGAACACCGGUGGCGAAGGCGGGUCUCUGGGCCGAUACUGACGCUGAGGAGCGAAAGCGUGGGGAGCGAACAGG
rnacentral:rRNA from 1 species